GAUGAAGAACGUAGCGAAAUGCGAUAAGUAGUGUGAAUUGCAGAAUUCCGUGAAUCAUCGAAUCUUUGAACGCACAUUGCGCCCUUUGGUAUUCCGAGGGGCAUGCCUGUUCGAGCGUCAUUAUAACCCCUCAAGCUCAGCUUGGUGUUGGGGCCUGCUGCACUGGCAGCCCUUAAAAUCAGUGGCGGCGCCAUCUGGCUCUAAGCGUAGUAAUUCUUCUCGCUAUGGAGUCCUGGUGGAUGCUUGCCAUCAACCCCCAAUUUUUCUAUGGUUGACCUCGGAUCAGGUAGGGAUACCCGCUGAACUUAAGCAUAUCAAUAAGCGGAGGA
rnacentral:misc_RNA from 1 species